GCUGGCGUAGCUCAGCUGGUAGAGCAGCUGCCUUGUAAGCAGCAGGUCGCGGGUUCGAAUCCCACCGCCAGCUC
rnacentral:tRNA from 1 species